GCUGUAAAAAUCUCCUUGGAAAUUUCCUUUAUCUCUACUCACACCACAAGAUAUAUGUGAGCAAUCAUCCUCCAAACAUAUGGCCCACUGAUAUAUACAUCUGAAUGGUCUCAUGACUAAGGUUUUACUAGACAGUAAUAAAUAUUUAUUAA